GACCUACUUCUCGCAUCAAAUGACAGCAUUGUCAUUAGCUUACAUAAUUUCACUCGCCUUCGCGUCAUUUGUUCCAAUUGCCACCGAAUGGUUGUGUAGAGAGUUCUAAUUCUGUGUUUGGAUAGUUUCCCUCACCUACAUUCCGUUAGCAGAUAUCUUUGGAUUUGGAUCCUAUCGACUUGCUCUUCUGAUUCAGUGUAGCUGCAUAAUUUUUGUUCUUGAGCUGUUUUAUUCCCUCUUUGAUCCACAUUUCUUCCCUUUUUUAAGAGUUCUUGAAACAAUCAUUUAGGUUUCUCGAACUCAGGUACUCUUUGAAACAAGCCUUUUUCCUCCGCUAUCUCGCUCUUUUAAGGGUAACCACUUAUUUCAAAAAACAAAAAAUUAACUUUUAGAUUCAAUCUCUGAUUAUAGUGAUUGAGAUUUAGGGGUUGUGUGUUUAUGGACUGGGGUUUUACUUUAUGAAUACGAUAAUGUUACUUCUUUCCAGCAAAAAAUAUCCAAAGAAAAAAUUUCUGCUCUCCCAAUUUUAUCUUCAAAGUUAUCUUCUUGAAUAUAUGCAAAUAAUUAUCUUUAGUUCAGUUUAUUCUCAUGAGUUUAAGGUAAUGCUCCAUUUUUAAUCUUUUACUUCAUUUGGCGGCUUGUAUUCUAACUUUUGAUAGUGAUAAGCAUAGGCCUUUACAAACUGAUGAACCUUUAUGGACAAAGUCUAUAGGCAGAGAUUUACUUAGCAUCGAUAGUUAUGAUCAGAUUUUUCCAAAGGCUAACAGUUCAUUGAAAAAUCCAAAUAUUCGCAUUCAGAUUCCAGGGAGUCAGGUCUUGCGAUCAUUAAUAUGUUCAUUUAUGUGAAUUGUUUCCUACAAUUGUUUCAAAGGCAAGAACACUUGAAGUAAUAUCAUGUGGCAUAAUGGGCAGGCGUAAUAGUACGUUACAAUUGAUGUAUGAAGAACAGCAAGAGCUUUCCUCAUUAGUCCCAAGUCCCAACGCGAGAAUCGUAUUUCCUACAAUUUUGCCAGCAGAUUGAGCCGGGAUCAUGGGCAAUUGUCGAUGUUUCUUAUGAUGUUACUCGAGAAAAUUAGUAUCCUCCCUCUUCAUGCAAGGUUCAUAAGCUUCCAUGUGGAUACUUGAUACAAGACAUGUUGAAUGGUUAUUCCAAGUGAUUCCAUCACCAUAAGGGAAGAGGAGCAUGAUGAAAGUGGCUCAAAGAAUGGCGAGUAGUUUCUGUGUUAGCACAAGUCUGUCCAAUGGACAACAGUGGAACAACAUUUCUACAUUAGACGAGUUUGAAGUCAGAGCCACCCUUCAAAAGUGCACCGAUUCUGGCCAUCCCAAUGGCGUAGUUAUCAGUGCAGCCUCUCCAAUUCCUCCACUACAUGUCUUCAACUUCCUCAGGGAUGAAAGGACUCGAUCUCAGCGGGGUGUUCUUUUCAACCAAAAUUCAAUACAAGAGGUAGCUCACAUUGCAAAUGACACUCAUCCAGGGAAUUCUAUUUCUGUGCUCAGGGCUUGGUUCAGGGAACUCCCAAGUGGGGUGUUGGAUUCUCUUUCUCCUAGGCAGGUUAUGCAAUGCCUGUCAGAAGAGGACUGUAGUACUCUCGUGAGACUUCUCCCACCAACGGAAGUUGCUCUGCCGGACUGGGCUAUUAAUAUCAUAGUUGAUGUUGUCCUGGAGUAGUUGUGAUUCUUCACCAAUAAAGUCUAGGACAGUGGUAGUACUGUUGAGAUGGUUAGGUGCAAGCAAAAGCAUCUAAAGAAAUACACUGAUUGGUAUUCAUCAAGAGGAUAUCAUGUAAUUAUGUUUACUUUCCCAAUGUCUGAGAUUCUAAGCUAUCAAGUCGGGGGAAAGGCAAAAAGAGGAUAUUGAACUGCUUGUGAAUCAUCGUGCUGAUUGGUUGGAAGAGAAGCAUGCAAAGAGUUUGGUCUUCCACACUUUCAGUAAUACUGAAUGGUUAGCUUACGGUGUCAUUUUGGAAAAGUUUCAGAAACAAGAUCACGCUUUAAUGAGAAGGAUCAAAGGUUGAUUCUGCCACUAUCACAGCUCCGGAACCAUAGGUGCGCAUCGUAUUGAAUAUUGGUAGCUUUGGUGCCCUCCUACUCUCACUGAAGUUGAUGGCUAAAGUACCUGAGGUGUCAUGUUUGUUGUGAAUAACCAAAUAAUAUGCACUUGUGUGACCCCAUCUUAUCUUGGGCUUAAUAAAAUGUUAUGCAAGAGAGAAGAAUUGAAGCAAAACACAUUACAGUUAUUUUGAUCACCUUUUCAAACUUAAUGUGUUUGUGGACACAUUUUUCGGGCAAUGGAAAGCUUGCAAGAGAAGAUUUACGUUGCUCUUCUUUGUUACUGUUGUAGGGCCAUUUCAUUUCUUUGCGGUUCUGCUAAAUUUAGUAAAGUGUUAAGAUUUUCUAAGCUUAUGAUUACAAAUGAUCAAUACAAGUGGUUGGAGAAGGACCUGACUAAUGUUGAUUGGACAGUUACUCCAUGGCUGGUUGUAUUUUAUCCUUCUAAUUUUGGGUGCGUGUAUAUGUAAAGAAUAAAGACAGAUAUAUGGAUACAAAAUCUUCUUUUUGAAUGAUAUUUCCUUUCAAAUCAAAAUGGUAGAUGUUGCAUUAUCCUUUCACCUUUUUACACGCUAAUUAGGGCUCUGAAGAAACCAAAAGAAAAAUAAAUACUGACACUAGUAUAUUUGAUUCCGGGAAAAAAAUCAACUAUCUUCAACUUAUUCAAGCUACUACUACUACAUCUAAAUUAUAUAUCUUUUAUGUUUUAUUGAUUUUCAGCUUGCUCAUUGAGAUCCUAAUUGUUUAGACUUUUCAAAGGACUUUUCCAUGGUCCUACUUUGUCCUGCAAAACUCUCAUCUAAGUAAGAAACUAGAAUAUUCUAAUAUUCCAUGAAGAUUUUGUUUUCAAAGUCACUAGAAAAAUAUACAUUAUCCAAUAUCCACCAGUGAGACUAACAACUGAAACAACUGUUGAUAAUUGGAGCAGUCUGUUGUGGAUACUUUUGUUCCUUUAAAAGGAAAAGCGGGUGAUUUGGUUUUCCAUCUAUUAAUGUUUGGAUGUUUGUUCUUAAUGUGUGUUGUGCUCUUCGGUGGUUCUGUUUUCCUUUCAAUUGGAAGGUGCUAAGAUAUUUUAGGAAGGAUAGGCAUAACUGGAGGAGGAAAGAUGGGAAGACAGUUAAAAGAAGCUCAAGAGAAGCUGAAGAUAGGAAAGAGAAGUUCAGAAUUUGUUAUGUGUUUGCACGUUGUAUCAGCUUUAAAUUGCCGAAUAAGAAAGUACAAUGAAGCAAUUCCUCACUUGGAGCGAUCGAUUGAAAUUCCUGACUUGGAUAUGGGACAAAAUCAUGCACUUGCAACAUUUACAGGGUGCAUGCACUUAGGUGAUACAUAUCAAUGCUCAGGCAGUUAGAGAAUUUAAUACUGUGCUGUACUGAUGGCCUGGAAAUUCAAUGGAAAGUUCUCAAAGAGAAAGACACGAGAUUUGGCGACACAUGCAGGUAUGUCGCUGAAGCCCAUGUUCAAGUACUGCAAUUUGAUGAGGCUGAGAAGCUUUGUCAGAUGGCUCUUGACAUUCACAAGGAGAAAAAUUCAUCAACCUCUCCUGAAGAAGCUGCUGACAGGAGAGGAGACUCUUGGGGCUUAUUUACGUUUCGAAGGGAGACUAUGAGGCUUCUCGUGAGCAUAUUAUGUUUUGGCAGGCAUAGCCAUGGAAGCCAGUGGCCAGGAAGCUGAAGUAACAGCAGCCAUUGACUGCAACAUUGGCGACAUGCAUUUAUCUAUGGCACGAGAUGAUGAGGUUAUUUGUGCUUACCAAAAAGCAUUUACUAUGUUCAAGUCUACCAAAGGGAAGAACCACCAGUCAGUUGCAUCGGUGAAUGUACGUUUGGCUGAUAUGUACAACAAGAUAGGGAAAUUCAGGGAAUCAAAAUCUUACUGUGAAAAUGCACUUCAGAUUGUGUUUAUCUCCCUUGGGAUUUGAACAUAAGAUCUCAUGGUGUUCAAACGACUUUAUUAGGUAAUCAAAAGGGUUCAUGGAACGCUUCACAUUUCCUUUGAUUUCAACUUCUGUUUUUAAUGAAGAGAAGCUUUGUUCCCAAAGGAAUGGUUGAUCGGA